rnacentral:rRNA from 1 species
AGUGGGUGUAAUGUACCUACUAGCCGACGACGGAUACGGGUUGUGGGAGCAAGAGCCCGGAGAUGGAUUCUGAGACAUGAAUCCAGGCCCUACGGGGCGCAGCAGGCGCGAAAACUUUACAAUGCGGGAAACCGCGAUAAGGGGACACCGAGUGCCAGCAUCUUAUGUUGGCUGUCCGCAUGUAUAAAUCACAUGUGUUAGCAAGGGCCGGGCAAGACCGGUGCCAGCCGCCGCGGUAACACCGGCGGCCCGAGUGGUGGCCACUAUUAUUGGGUCUAAAGGGUCCGUAGCCGGUUUGGUCAGUCUUCCGGGAAAUCCGACGGCUUAACCGUUAGGCUUUCGGGGGAUACUACCAGGCUUGGGACCGGGAGAGGUAAGAGGUACUACGGGGGUAGGAGUGAAAUCUUGUAAUCCUCGUGGGACCACCAGUGGCGAAGGCGUCUUACCAGAACGGGUCCGACGGUGAGGGACGAAAGCUGGGGGCACGAACCGGAUUAGAU